GCUUGCUUUGACAACUGAUAGACCAAAGCUGAAAUGAUAUGGAGAAGAUCUGCUUGGCCCCUGCCCAAGGUUGCCACACAAAUGCCAGAAGUGGCCCUAGUUGUU